UUAAUUAAGUAGAAAGGAAUGAUGGGUGGACAAUGGAUAACUAAUCUUAUUUUUUAGUAUUUGAAAUAGUAAUUUCGAAGACUGCAAAAUUAGGAUUAGUGUGCCCAUUUUUCUAUGAACGGAAUGGCUAUUUAUGUGAAUAGCUUAUUUUGGCACUGUUAAAUGCAACUAAUCCUUCCAAUUACCUGGGAGGAUUUUUUU
rnacentral:sRNA from 1 species